UCGAAAUUGUAUUUUAUUUUUGUGCUUCUGCGUGAUAAGAACACUGCAUUUGAAAAUCAAACUGCAUCUUCAAAAAAACAAUAAAAACACCGUGCAUAAUCGCUUGAUUCUCAGUGAUGACACGUUUUGGAACUUAGAAGGCUUAGAAACGUUUUAGGAACGAAAAGUUAUUGCAUGAGCUUUAUAAUGAAUGGAAUUUAUCGUAUUCUCUGGCCGUGUCUUCUGUAUGGGGUGUGUUCUAUUGGUAUGACUGUUGGUUGUCCCGAUCGCUGUUCUUGCUAUGGGGGAACGUGUAAAACUGUUGAUUGCGAGGAACGAGGGCUGGAUAACGUUCCGAAGGGGAUACCCAACGAUACAUGCUAUUUGUGGCUAUAUAACAACCAGAUUAGUCAGAUUGACAACAACGCAUUUAAAGGGCUGUCACAGCUAAGAGAAUUGUCUCUGUCUUCAAACCAGAUUAGUCAAAUUAACGUCAAUGCAUUUCAAUGGCUGUCACAGCUUCGAAAAU